rnacentral:rRNA from 1 species
GCGUGGAUGAUGAAGGCCUUCGGGUUGUAAAGUCCUUUUGGCGGGGACGAUGAUGACGGUACCCGCAGAAGAAGCCCCGGCUAACUUCGUGCCAGCAGCCGCGGUAAUACGAAGGGGGCUAGCGUUGUUCGGAAUUACUGGGCGUAAAGGGCGCGUAGGCGGCCUUGUUAGUCGUGUGUGAAAUACCUGGGCUCAACCCGGGAAUUGCGCUCGAUACUGCAAGGCUUGAGUGUGGGAGAGGUUGGUGGAAUUCCCAGUGUAGAGGUGAAAUUCGU